rnacentral:rRNA from 1 species
GUGGGGAAUAUUGGACAAUGGGCGCAAGCCUGAUCCAGCGACGCCGCGUGGGUGAUGAAGGCCUUCGGGUUGUAAAGCCCUGUGGAAGGGGAAGAAAACGGCGGGUUCGAAUAGAUCCUGUCCUUGACGGUACCUUUUCAGAAAGCACCGGCUAACUCUGUGCCAGCAGCCGCGGUAAGACAGAGGGUGCAAACGUUGCUCGGAAUUACUGGGCGUAAAGCGCGUGUAGGCGGGUCGAUAAGUCAGGCGUGAAAUCCCUGGGCUCAACCCAGGAACUGCGUUUGAAACUGCCGAUCUUGAGUAGUGGAGAGGGAAGUGGAAUUCCUGGUGUAGAGGUGAAAUUCGUAGAUAUCAGGAGGAACACCGGUGGCGAAGGCGGCUUCCUGGACACUUACUGACGCUGAGACGCGAAAGCGUGGGGAGCAAACAGGAUUAGAUACCCCGGUAGUCC